UACGAAGGGUGCAAGCGUUAUUCGGAAUCAUUGGGCGUAAAGCGCGCGCAGGCGGAUUAAUAAGUCAGGUGUGAAAUCUCGAGGCUCAACCUCGAAACUGCGCCUGAAACUAUUAGUCUAGAAUGUCGGAGGGGGCAGGGGAAUUUCACGUGUAGGGGUAAAAUCCGUAGAGAUGUGAAGGAACACCGGAGGCGAAGGCGCCUGCCUGGACGACUAUUGACGCUGAGGUGCGAAAGCGUGGGGAGCAAACAGG
rnacentral:rRNA from 1 species